UACAGAGGUCCCGAGCGUUGUUCGGAUUCAUUGGGCGUAAAGGGUGCGUAGGCGGCGGGGCAAGUCUGAUGUGAAAUCCCCGGGGCUCAACCCCGGAACUGCAUUGGAUACUGCCUUGCUCGAGUACUGGAGAGGGAACUGGAAUUUACGGUGUAGCAGUGAAAUGCGUAGAGAUCGUAAGGAAGGCCAGUGGCGAAGGCGAGUUCCUGGACAGUUACUGACGCUGAGGCACGAAGGCCAGGGGAGCAAGCGGG
rnacentral:rRNA from 1 species